rnacentral:tRNA from 1 species
GCCCUCGUAGCUCAGCCGGAUAGAGCGGCUGCCUCCUAAGCAGCAGGCCACAGGUUCGACUCCUGUCGAGGGCACCA